UUGUCAUUUUCUCUGAUAAUUUUGUUUGAAAUUUCUCAUGGCAUGUAUAUCUGUUAUCACUUAGUCAAUGUAGUAACACAAGUCACACACAACUAGCCUUGUGUGUACAUUUGAAGAGUUAAUUUGCAAAAACAGCUCCUCUGAUUUUUUUUUUUUUUUUUUUUUUAGUUUCUACUGAGUCACAUGCACUCAAUGUCAGUUUGAUUGAUAUUAUUUCAAGUAAACAACAAAAAAACAAGUUUUCUAAAAAAAAAUGUGAACAUUGAGUUAUCGGUUUUUGCAAAUUAACUCUUAAUUUGUUUUGGAGGGAUUGGAAGAGAACCUCUACAGCCACACAGCGGUGAAAGUGUUUGUGUUCACUUUGUAGAUUCAAAGAUGGUCUUACUACCCUUCAGUUUCUUAAUGCACUACAACAACACCCUUCUUUGCUGUCCCCUGUCCUGUGCCACACUGCAAAGCCACUCACUGGCUUGGAACUUGAGAGACUCUUCAAACCUAACCUCAGCCCUUCAGGGAGUAACAGGAGACUAAAAGAAAGUCAAACUUUGGCCUACUGGGCAGACUACCUCCUUGAUUGUGAAGAAGGCAAGGCCUCUGUGUCUGUGGAGGAUGUUUUGAUGUUUGCAACUGGGCUGUCAUCACUUCCCCCUUCUGGUUUGGAACCACUGCCUCAAAUACAGUUCCUGGAUGACUCUCCAUUCCCGAUGGCAAAUACAUGUUCAAACUUGCUAAAAUUACCACUCCUUGAUUCAUACAGUAUGUUUAAGUCACAAAUGGACUUUGGAAUUGAAAAUAGUCCAGGAUUUGGCUGUUUUUAAACCACAUGACUAGAUGACCUCUGGAGCAGUGUUUCUCAAACUUCUCACAUCAAGUACCACCUCGUAACACAUUUGACAAGCAAAGUACCACCUCAUUAAAUAUGUGACCUUCCAAGUACCACCAGGACUAAAUCUGGAGAAAACCAGGUCCAAAAGGAAUCUUAAUUAAAGCUAAACUGGUCUGAAUUUUGUCUGAAGUAGGUGUAAACUAUGUCUGAACCAGAAAAGUGCCUAACUUAAACACAUUACUAAACCAAACUAAAUUAUCUCUAAUUAAAAUGAAUAAAGUAGAUGCAGAUGACCCUGAGUACCACCAGCAGCACACAUACCACCGUUUGAGAAACACUGCUCUAGAGCUCAGACUUUAGAAAUGUUUUGUUCUAAACUUGCUGUUGUUGGUGCACUUAAAGGUGCAGUUAGAUCUCAAUCGUUUUAGAUCCAUUAUUUUUAAACUGUGGUCUGUUUAUGAAUCACUGUUAUGUAUUCAGAUUAAUUUUAGAAUGAGAGGAGCAUUUCAGGAGAUUUUGUUCUCGAAAAAAAUGUUAAAAUGUAGUAACGGGGUAUUACUUUGCUUUAUUUUUUAUUCAUAUAUUUUCCGCUUUGAAUUAAUGAAGCCGUGACAAAUUCAGACACGUUUGUGUACAUGUUCUACCAUUCCAAUAAACUUGUCUUCUUUCAUA